rnacentral:rRNA from 1 species
AUUGAACGCUGGUGGAAUGCUUUACACAUGCAAGUCGAGCGGAGAUUUAAAGAAGCUUGCUUCUUUAAAUUUUAGCGGCGGACGGGUGAGUAACACGUGAGCAACCUGCCUUUCUGAGGGGGAUAACGUUUGGAAACGAACGCUAAUACCGCAUAACGUAUUUAGAUGGCAUCAUCGAAAUACCAAAGGAGUAAUCCGCAGAAAGAUGGGCUCGCGUCUGAUUAGCUAGUUGGUGAGGUAAUGGCUCACCAAGGCGACGAUCAGUAGCCGGACUGAGAGGUUGAACGGCCACAUUGGGACUGAGACACGGCCCAGACUCCUACGGGAGGCAGCAGUGGGGAAUAUUGGGCAAUGGGCGAAAGCCUGACCCAGCGAUGCCGCGUGAGUGAAGAAGGUCUUCGGAUUGUAAAACUCUGUCUUUGGGGACGAUAAUGACGGUACCCAAAAAGGAAGCUCCGGCUAACUACGUGCCAGCAGCCGCGGUAACAC